GGAGGUGAGAGAGGCGGUCGCUGUGGAGUUUGUCUCUCCGCAGAGGAAAGUCCGGACUCCACAGGACAGAGGAGUUACCGAAAGGAACCGCCCGUAAGGGUAGAGAAAGUGCCACAGAAACUAUACCGCCUGCCUCGUGCAGGUAAGGGUGAAAUGGUGGGGUAAGAGCCCACCUGUAUGCAGGGUGACCUGCAUAUAGGGCAAACCUUCCUCGGAGCAAGGUCAAAUAGCAGCGGAUAAGGGUUGUCCGCCCGAUGCAGAUGCUUAUAUCUGCGAACGCUGCGGGUAGACCGCAUUAGACGAAUGACCGCCACCUCCUUUAAGGAGGAACAGAAUCCGGCUUAUCGCUCACCUCCCCGC
rnacentral:RNase_P_RNA from 1 species